CCUACAAUAAGUCAGAGCGCGUUAAUGCGUGAUGGCGUGCCUUUUGUAGAAUGAACCGGCGAGUUAUGAUCCCGUGCAAGGUUAAGACUAAAAAGUCGGAGCCGUAGCGAAAGCGAGUCUGAAAUGGGCGUUUUGAGUACGAGGUUAUAGACCCGAAACCAGGUGACCUAUCCAUGUCCAGGUUGAAGGUGCGGUAAAACGCACUGGAGGACCGAACCCGUGUAAGUUGAAAAUUGCUGGGAUGAGGUGUGGAUAGCGGUGAAAUUCCAAACGAACUUGGAGAUAGCUGGUUCUCUCCGAAAUAGCUUUAGGGCUAGCCUCGGAAUUAGGAUCAUGGAGGUAGAGCACUAUUUGGACUAGGGGCCCGUCUUGGGUUACUGAAUUCAGAUAAACUCCGAAUGCCAUUGAUUCAUAUCCGGGAGUCAGACGAUGAGUGAUAAGAUCCACCGUCGAAAGGGGAACAGCCCAGACCAUCAGUUAAGGUCCCUAAAUGUAUGCUAAGUGGAAAAGGAUGUGGAGUUGCAUAGACAACUAGGAUGUUGGCUCAGAAGCAGCCACCAUUUAAAGAGUGCGUAAUAGCUCACUAGUCGAGUGAUCCUGCGCCGAAAAUGUACCGGGGCUAAGCAUACUACCGAAACCAUGGAUGCGACCAUUAGGUCGCGUGAUAGGAGAGCGUUCUAAGGGCGGUGAAGCAAGAUCGUGAGGACUUGUGGAGCGCUUAGAAGUGAGAAUGCCGGUAUGAGUAGCGAAAGAUAGGUGAGAAUCCUAUCCACCGAAUGACUAAGGUUUCCUGGGGAAGGCUCGUCCUCCCAGGGUUAGUCGGGACCUAAGUCGAGGCCGAGAGGCGUAGACGAUGGAUAACAGGUUGAGAUUCCUGUACUAGUUAAGUGCGUUUGAGCAAUGGAGGGACGCAGGAGGCUAAGAUGUGCAUUCUGUUGGAUUAGAAUGUCCAAGCAGUAAGUCUUGUGAAGAGUCAAAUGCUUUUCACUUUAAGGACAAGCUGUGAUGGGGAGCGAAAUUUAGUAGCGAAGCGUCUGAUGUCACACUGCCGAGAAAAGCUUCUAGUGAGUACUUAACUACCCGUACCGCAAACCGACACAGGUAGUCGAGGAGAGAAUCCUAAGGUGAGCGAGUGAACUCUCGUUAAGGAACUCGGCAAAAUGACCCCGUAACUUCGGGAGAAGGGGUGCUGAUCGCAAGAUCAGCCGCAGUGAAUAGGCCCAGGCGACUGUUUAUCAAAAACACAGGUCUCUGCAAAAUCGUAAGAUGACGUAUAGGGGCUGACGCCUGCCCGGUGCUGGAAGGUUAAAAGGAUGGGUUAGCUUCGGCGAAGCUCAGAAUUGAAGCCCCAGUAAACGGCGGCCGUAACUAUAACGGUCCUAAGGUAGCGAAAUUCCUUGUCGGGUAAGUUCCGACCCGCACGAAAGGCGUAACGAUCUGGGCACUGUCUCAACGAGAGACUCGGUGAAAUUAUAUUGUCCGUGAAGAUGCGGACUACCCGCGACAGGACGGAAAGACCCCAUGGAGCUUUACUGUAGCUUGAUAUUGAGUGUUUGUACAGCUUGUACAGGAUAGGUAGGAGCCAUAGAAACCGGAACGCUAGUUUCGGUGGAGGCGUUGGUGGGAUACUACCCUCGCUGUAUGACCACUCUAACCCGCACCACUAAUCGUGGUGGGAGACAGUGUCAGGUGGGCAGUUUGACUGGGGCGGUCGCCUCCUAAAAAGUAACGGAGGCGCCCAAAGGUUCCCUCAGAAUGGUUGGAAAUCAUUCGCAGAGUGUAAAGGCACAAGGGAGCUUGACUGCGAGACAGACAGGUCGAGCAGGGACGAAAGUCGGGCUUAGUGAUCCGGUGGUACCGUAUGGAAGGGCCAUCGCUCAACGGAUAAAAGCUACCCUGGGGAUAACAGGCUUAUCUCCCCCAAGAGUCCACAUCGACGGGGAGGUUUGGCACCUCGAUGUCGGCUCAUCGCAUCCUGGGGCUGUAGUCGGUCCCAAGGGUUGGGCUGUUCGCCCAUUAAAGCGGUACGCGAGCUGGGUUCAGAACGUCGUGAGACAGUUCGGUCCCUAUCCGUCGCGGGCGUAGGAAAUUUGAGAGGACCUGUCCUUAGUACGAGAGGACCGGGAUGGACAUACCUCUGGUGUACCAGUUGUGCCGCCAGGCGCAUCGCUGGGUAGCUACGUAUGGAUGUGAUAAACGCUGAAAGCAUCUAAGUGUGAAACACACCUCGAGAUGAGAUUUCCCAUUCCUUUAUGGAAGUAAGACCCCUGAAAGAUGAUCAGGUAGAUAGGUUAGAAGUGGCAGUGCGGUGACGCAUGAAGCGGACUAAUACUAAUCGGUCGAGGACUUAACCAA
rnacentral:rRNA from 1 species